GGGUUGUGAGGUUAAGCGACUAAGCGUACACGGUGGAUGCCCUGGCAGUCAGAGGCGAUGAAGGGCGUGCUAAUCUGCGAUAAGCGCCGGUAAGGUGAUAUGAACCGUUAUAACCGGCGAUACCCGAAUGGGGAAACCCAGUGUGACUCGUCACACUAUCAUUAACUGAAUCCAUAGGUUAAUGAGGCGAACCGGGGGAACUGAAACAUCUAAGUACCCCGAGGAAAAGAAAUCAACCGAGAUUCCCCCAGUAGCGGCGAGCGAACGGGGAGGAGCCCAGAGCCUGAAUCAGCAUGUGUGUUAGUGGAAGCGUCUGGAAAGGCGCGCGAUACAGGGUGACAGCCCCGUACACAAAAGCGCAUGUGCUGUGAGCUCGAUGAGUAGGGCGGGACACGUGGUAUCCUGUCUGAAUAUGGGGGGACCAUCCUCCAAGGCUAAAUACUCCUGACUGACCGAUAGUGAACCAGUACCGUGAGGGAAAGGCGAAAAGAACCCCGGCGAGGGGAGUGAAAAAGAACCUGAAACCGUGUACGUACAAGCAGUGGGAGCACAGGUUUACCUGUGUGACUGCGUACCUUUUGUAUAAUGGGUCAGCGACUUAUAUUCUGUAGCAAGGUUAACCGAAUAGGGGAGCCGGAGGGAAACCGAGUCUUAAUUGGGCGUUAAGUUGCAGGGUAUAGACCCGAAACCCGGUGAUCUAGCCAUGGGCAGGUUGAAGGUUGGGUAACACUAACUGGAGGACCGAACCGACUAAUGUUGAAAAAUUAGCGGAUGACCUGUGGCUGGGGGUGAAAGGCCAAUCAAACCGGGAGAUAGCUGGUUCUCCCCGAAAGCUAUUUAGGUAGCGCCUCGUGAAUUCAUCUCCGGGGGUAGAGCACUGUUUCGGCUAGGGGGCCAUCCCGGCUUACCAACCCGAUGCAAACUGCGAAUACCGGAGAAUGUUAUCACGGGAGACACACGGCGGGUGCUAACGUCCGUCGUGAAGAGGGAAACAACCCAGACCGCCAGCUAAGGUCCCAAAGUCAUGGUUAAGUGGGAAACGAUGUGGGAAGGCCCAGACAGCCAGGAUGUUGGCUUAGAAGCAGCCAUCAUUUAAAGAAAGCGUAAUAGCUCACUGGUCGAGUCGGCCUGCGCGGAAGAUGUAACGGGGCUAAACCAUGCACCGAAGCUGCGGCAGCGACACUGUGUGUUGUUGGGUAGGGGAGCGUUCUGUAAGCCUGUGAAGGUGGCCUGUGAGGGUUGCUGGAGGUAUCAGAAGUGCGAAUGCUGACAUAAGUAACGAUAAAGCGGGUGAAAAGCCCGCUCGCCGGAAGACCAAGGGUUCCUGUCCAACGUUAAUCGGGGCAGGGUGAGUCGACCCCUAAGGCGAGGCCGAAAGGCGUAGUCGAUGGGAAACAGGUUAAUAUUCCUGUACUUGGUGUUACUGCGAAGGGGGGACGGAGAAGGCUAUGUUGGCCGGGCGACGGUUGUCCCGGUUUAAGCGUGUAGGUGUGUGUUCCAGGUAAAUCCGGUUCACUUUAACACUGAGGCGUGAUGACGA
rnacentral:rRNA from 1 species